AACCAUUCUCACCUGCGGCUAGACCUGCGGAAGGAUCAUUAUUGAAUUUUAAUGAAGAGUCUGGUUGUAGCUGGUCCAUUUAAUUGGGCAUGUGCACACCUUUCUCUUUCAUCCACACACACCUGUGAACCUGUGAGACAGAUGGGAAAUUUUUGCUUAUUUAUUUUUUGAAAUACAAAGAUAACUGAGUGAUUUGGACCCCUCUGUCUACUCAAUUCAAUAUAAACUCAAUUUAUUCUA
rnacentral:misc_RNA from 1 species